rnacentral:lncRNA from 1 species
UGCUGGGCUUGCCAAGCCAGGCCGUACAGCUCAGGUAGGGGCGAGCGCUGGCCCGGAUCGGAGACUGAGGUCCCUCCGCCUGGCCCGGCGCGCCGAACUCUGAAGGAGUGGACACUGCAGGUGAGCCCGUUCGGUCGGCUGCGGGCGCGGCUCCCGUGCCACCUGGCCGUGAGGCCCCUGGACCCCCUCACCUACCCGGAUGGCGACCGCGUGCUGGUCGCGGUGUGCGGCGUGGAGGGCGGCGUGCGGGGCCUGGACGGCCUGCAGGUGAAGUACGACGAGGAUCUGGAGGAGAUGGCCAUUGUGUCUGAUACUAUCCACCCCCAGGCGUCCGUGGAGGUGAACGCGCCCCUGAAGUUUGGUUUAGAUAUCAAGUCAUCAGGGUCUGGCUGUGUAGAAGUUCAAAGUAUUGAGGGUGAUAAUUGCAAAAUUGAAACAGAGCAUGGGACUAGCAUCUUGCAGUCUGUUAAGGGUCAAAAAUUGCAUGUUCAAACAAAAGGAGGCAAAGUGAUCUGUCUGGGAACAGUUUAUGGAAAUAUAGAUAUUCAUGCAUCAGAUAAAAGUGCUGUGACCAUAGAUAAACUGCAGGGAAGUUCUGUUACUGUAUCUACCGAAGAUGGGUUGCUGAAAGCCAAGUAUCUUUAUACAGAAUCAUCAUUUCUGUCUUCUGCUGCUGGGGAUAUUACAUUAGGAAGUGUUCAUGAGUCUUGCUCUGCUGCCUAGGCUGGAGUGCAGUGGCGUGAUACUGGCUCACUGCACCCUCCACCUUUCACGUUCAGGUGAUUCUCCCACCCCAACCUCCCGAGAAGCUGGGACUACAGGUAAUAUAACAUUACAAAGCGAGAUGGGUAACAUCACAGUAGAUUCGUCUUCUGGAUGUCUAAAAGCCUCAACUAAUCAGGGUGCCAUAGAUGUUUAUGUCAGCCAACUGGGGAAAGUGGAAUUGAAAUCCCAUAAAGGUUCUAUUAUUGUCAAGGUCCCAUCUUCACUUCAAGCUCAUUUACAGUUAUCAGGGAAAGAGGUUGAUGUGAACUCAGAAGUCCAUGUUCAGGAAAUGGCUGAAGCUCGUAAAGAUGAUGUUGUAACAGUGACUGGUAAGGAGGCUGCAUUUUGCUCUGUCAGAUGAAUAGCCAUUCUCCAUACAUAAGUAGAAAUGUGGUACACUUAACGGAAAUUUUAGCUUUUUUAUAUUUU